rnacentral:rRNA from 1 species
AUACGUAGGGGGCGAGCGUUGUCCGGAAUGAUUGGGCGUAAAGGGCGCGUAGGCGGCCCGGUAAGUCUGGAGUGAAAGUCCUGUUUUUAAGAUGGGAAUUGCUUUGGAUACUGUCGGGCUUGAGUGCAGGAGAGGUAAGUGGAAUUCCCAGUGUAGCGGUGAAAUGCGUAGAGAUUGGGAGGAACACCAGUGGCGAAGGCGACUUACUGGACUGUAACUGACGCUGAGGCGCGAAAGUGUGGGGAGCAAACAGGAUUAGAUACCCUGGUAGUCCACACAGUAAACGAUGAAUGCUAGGUGUAGGGGGUAUCGACCCCUUCUGUGCCGCAGUCAACACAAUAAGCAUUCCGCCUGGGGAGUACGGCCGCAAGGUUGAAACUCAAAUGAAUUGACGGGG